UACGAAGGGGGCUAGCGUUGUUCGGAAUUACUGGGCGUAAAGCGCACGUAGGCGGACUCUUAAGUCAGGGGUGAAAUCCCGGGGCUCAACCUCGGAACUGCCUUUGAUACUGGCGAUCUUCGAGUCCGGGAGAGGUGAGUGGAACUCCGAGUGUAGAGGUGAAAUUCGUAGAUAUUCGGAAGAGCACCAGUGGCGAAGGCGGCUCACUGGCCCGGUACUGACGCUGAAAUACGAAAGCGUGGGGAGCAAACAGG
rnacentral:rRNA from 1 species